GCUAGGACUCCCCGGAGAUGAGUCGGAAAGGGGCCAUAGAACUUGAAUCAGAAAGAUAUGAGUCAUGGUCUUCAAGAUAGGACUCUGAAACCUUGAGCAAAGGAAGUAUAGAGGUAUGUAGGGGUAGGUACAGGCUACUCAAGGUCUGAGAAUCCAUAGUUUCCGGUGAAAUAAGGUCGGAGAUCGGUGAAGGGGCUAGGGUUUCGGAGAGUGGUUGAGAGGAUUUUGAGAGACGGAGGGGAUAAAAG
rnacentral:lncRNA from 1 species